AUGCAGCCCCUCCGGCCGUGGCGGCCAGCCGGAGACCCCGGGACAUCAUCCUACCUUGAGCUGAGAGAGGGGAAGCGGGGAGGGAGAGGAAGGCGGAGGCGGGGGGAAGAAGGGCGGUGGCAGGACGCCGGGGGAUGCCCGGGCUGCGGUGCAGCCGGCGUCCGGGCACCACUGACGGCGGCGGCAAGCGGCGGCCGAGGGAGGGAGGGAGGGAGGGAAGGAGGGAGGGAGGGAAGGAGGGAGAGAGCGAGGGGAGGAAGGAGGGAGGGAGGAAGGAAAGGAGGGAUGGAGGGAGGAGAGGAGGGAGGGAGACCCGCCUCCCGUCGGGAGCGCUGCACAGCGCCCUUUAAAGGAGCAGAAACCCGCUUUCUCCGCGGCCGCCGCUCCGCGCUCACCGCAACGCCGAGCCCCGCGCCGGCGGCAGGGCUCCGCGGGCGGCCGGCGAAGCAGAAACGCUCCCAGCUCUGCCUCCCCCGCCACCGCCCGAGGGGCCGAGCUCGCCAGCAGGCGCCCUUCCAAGGCACGAAAAAUCUGAUCGGGGUCCCGCAGCCUGUUUUGCAAACACAGAGAAAAAGACAAGUAUCAAUGCUGUUCUCUCCUCUCUCCAAUGACUUUCAACUGGAAUGCCUCAACGAGCAGGGAACGGGGGUCUUCAGACUUUAACUGUUGCCCAAUUAAUGUUUGUAAAAUAAAGCUUUUCCAGAAAAGUCAGUCUUGAAAAAUGUUAUUGACACAAAGAGAAUACUGUACUAAGUGCACCCAAAACAAAAUUAAUUGUAUAAAUACUUAUGGUCACAGCCAUUACCAUGACAAAAUGCUGUCCAGUGGAAUGUAGUAAUUCUUUGUGGCAGCCAAAAAUUAACCGUUCAGUGAUUUUCAUGAGUUAAUAAAUCCUUGCUCUAUUUUUUUAUCUUGUACUCUGAAACAAGUUGCAUUCUUGUUGUAAAAUUAAGAGAAAGAAACACAGAAAACCUCACAACACAAAACCUUCCUCCAUUCUUCAUCUUGAAAAAGUGCUCCAAUGUCAAGAUUAUUCAAGUGCUCCAAAGAGCUUCAAUGUCAAGAUUAUUCAAGACCAUAUUCUAUCUACAUCCUAUCCUUCAAAAAUACCUCUACUGUAGGAUAUAAAGGUUAUUGUAUAUAAGCCUGUAACAAAUACAGUUGCAAGAUACUGACUUUAAUUUAAACUGGCUGCAGAGUCUACCUGGUGUCUCCCAGACCUGCAGAGGUA
rnacentral:lncRNA from 1 species